ACAUGCAAGUCGAGCGGUAACAGGAUCUGUAGCAAUACAGAUUGCUGACGAGCGGCGGACGGGUGAGGAACACGUAGGAACUUGCCUGGGAGAGGGGGAUAACCAAGGGAAACUUUGGCUAAUACCGCGUAAACUCGAGAGAGCAAAGCUGCCCCGCACUUGUUGCGGGGUGGCGCUUCCAGAGAGGCCUGCGUCCGAUUAGCUAGUUGGUGGGGUAAGAGCUCACCAAGGCGAUGAUCGGUAACUGGUCUGAGAGGACGACCAGUCACACUGGGACUGAGACACGGCCCAGACUCCUACGGGAGGCAGCAGUGGGGAAUCUUGGACAAUGGGGGCAACCCUGAUCCAGCGAUGCCGCGUGAGUGAAGAAGGCCUUCGGGUCGUAAAGCUCUUUAGGUUGGGAAGAAGUGUGUAUGAGGAUAAUUCAUGCACAUUGACGGUACCGACAGAAUAAGCACCGGCAAACUCUGUGCCAGCAGCCGCGGUAAUACAGAGGGUGCAAGCGUUGAUCGGAGUUACUGGGCGUAAAGGGCGCGUAGGCGGAUGAGUGUGUGUGAUGUGAAAGCCCCGGGCUUAACCUGGGAAGCGCAUCGCAAACUACUGAUCUGGAGUAUGGGAGAGGGUGAUGGAAUUUCCGGUGUAGCGGUGAAAUGCGUAGAGAUCGGAAGGAACGUCAAUGGCGAAGGCAGUCACCUGGCCCAAUACUGACGCUGAGGGGCGAAAGCGUGGGGAGCGAACAGGAUUAGAUACCCUGGUAGUCCACGCUGUAAACGAUGAGGACUAGAUGUUGAUUGGGGAACCAAGCAGUAUCGAAGCUAACGCGAUAAGUCUUCCGCCUGGGAAGUACGGCCGCAAGGUUGAA
rnacentral:rRNA from 1 species